UACGGGGGGGGCAAGCGUUGUUCGGAAUUACUGGGCGUAAAGGGCUCGUAGGUGGCCAACUAAGUCAGACGUGAAAUCCCCAGGCUUAACCUGGGAACUGCGUCUGAUACUGGAUGGCUUGAAUUCGGGAGAGGGAUGCAGAAUUCCAGGUGUAGCGGUGAAAUGCGUAGAUAUCUGGAGGAAUACCGGUGGCGAAGGCGGCAUCCUGGACCGAUAUUGACACUGAUGAGCGAAAGCUAGGGGAGCAAACGGG
rnacentral:rRNA from 1 species